AUUGAACGCUGGCGGCAGGCCUAACACAUGCAAGUCGGACGGUAGCACAGAGAGCUUGCUCUCGGGUGACGAGUGGCGGACGGGUGAGUAAUGUCUGGGGAUCUGCCCGAUAGAGGGGGAUAACCACUGGAAACGGUGGCUAAUACCGCAUAACGUCGCCAGACCAAAGAGGGGGACCUUCGGGCCUCUCACUAUCGGAUGAACCCAGAUGGGAUUAGCUAGUAGGCGGGGUAACGGCCCACCUAGGCGACGAUCCCUAGCUGGUCUGAGAGGAUGACCAGCCACACUGGAACUGAGACACGGUCCAGACUCCUACGGGAGGCAGCAGUGGGGAAUAUUGCACAAUGGGCGCAAGCCUGAUGCAGCCAUGCCGCGUGUAUGAAGAAGGCCUUCGGGUCGUAAAGUACUUUCAGCGGGGAGGAAGGCGAUGUGGUUAAUAACCGUAUCGAUUGACGUUACCCGCAGAAGAAGCACCGGCUAACUCCGUGCCAGCAGCCGCCGUAA
rnacentral:rRNA from 1 species